rnacentral:misc_RNA from 1 species
GUGAAUCAUCGAAUCUUUGAACGCAAAUUGCACUCCCUGGUAUUCCGGGAAGUAUGCCUGUUUGAGGGUCGUUAGAAGAAAAAUCGAAGCAUCGCUCUUUUUUUUUGAGGGUGAUCGCGUCGGAAUAGAGCCGUCUUUCAAAGGUUAAUUAAUGUCAAAGUGGCUUAAAAUUCAUCCAUCCGGUACGAUUAAAGCGUAUUUAAGAUCAAUUUUGAUUAAGAACGCGCGAGGAAGUACAAUCUCAUGUAGUACGUUUGACCUGGGUAAUCAGGUUCAUUCGUAUACGAUACUAAAACUUUUA